GAUGUGAACAUGAAGCCGUACUACCUUGGGAGGACAGCGUGUCCAUCUACUGCUGGCUCUAAAGAAGCUGCAGGUGCUUUGCCAGCUGUGUACAUGCCAGGUUGUGUGACAUGGAGCUACCCUGUGACUGCACCGCCUCCUUGCUGUCCUCGUGACUGCAAUGAGCACCGCAGAAAUGCCCUACUGCUUUUCCAGGUUCACCUUGUAAGGAGCUCAGUGCUGUAGGCACCUAAGCCGCUUGCUGCUGGUGAUGUGACCUCUCCGGGGGGUGAGCAGAAGAUGCCUUGCUUUUCCCGUGUGUUAUGGAAACAUUGUACCCACAAAACCCUUUAUCUUUAUGCCUGCAAAAGUCCAUUCCUUCCUGUGGGUGCUGGAUUUACUGGUUUUGUCAACUGUUUCUUAAAGAAAGGAAGGAUGAAAAUUAAUUACUUGGAGCAAGAACAACGGGAGAAGCAGAUCCCAGCCUUCUGCUGAGGAGAAAUUCCCCAGUGAUUUCUUUUGAAGUAUUCCCUCAGUGCUGCACACCAAAACGUCCUGCUCCUUGGGCCUGACUGUGAACUUGUGACUCAGGAUGGAAUAGUGAUACAUCUGGAUAAGUACAAGACAGUAAUACUUAAAAUACACCUUGCUUUUUUGACCACCAUUGAGAAACAAGCUGAUAUUGUCAGAAAAUUCUCCAGAACUGCUUCAAGUUCAUUUUCCUGAGUAACAGUUAAUUUGUGUCGCAUCACUUGGCAUGUUUAU